AUUGAACGCUCGCGGCAUGCUUUACACAUGCAAGUCGAACGGUAACAGGCCGCAAGGUGCUGACGAGUGGCGAACGGGUGAGUAAUGCAUCGGAACGUGCCCAGUCGUGGGGGAUAACUACUCGAAAGAGUAGCUAAUACCGCAUACGAUCUAUGGAUGAAAGCGGGGGACCGUAAGGCCUCGCGCGAUUGGAGCGGCCGAUGUCAGAUUAGGUAGUUGGUGGGGUAAAGGCUCACCAAGCCAACGAUCUGUAGCUGGUCUGAGAGGACGACCAGCCACACUGGGACUGAGACACGGCCCAGACUCCUACGGGAGGCAGCAGUGGGGAAUUUUGGACAAUGGGCGCAAGCCUGAUCCAGCAAUGCCGCGUGCAGGAAGAAGGCCUUCGGGUUGUAAACUGCUUUUGUACGGAACGAAACGGCUCUGGUUAAUACCCGGGGCUAAUGACGGUACCGUAAGAAUAAGCACCGGCUAACUACGUG
rnacentral:rRNA from 1 species